GACGAAUAAGCAAGCAAAUGGUUGCAGAAUAGCAACGUUUAUCAAAAACAGUGCGAGACGGUGGCACGAUGCGAGGAGGAGGGGGAGGAGAGAGAGAGAAGGAAAAAAAACUUGUGGAUCCGAUCGAACUCUCAGCCCUCGCUUCACACUAAGAACGUUUUAAAAAUCCUCUCCUUUUUUUUUCAUUCUCACCUUUUGCUAAUCUGUAUCCUAACCUCACUUUUAGCCUUUUUUUGCCUCUCAUAUCUCCCCAUGUAGCCUCCCUCUCUCUUACUGUCAGUUUAGCUUGAUUCCCAUCAUAUACUAUCCGGAACGUCUCUCACUGUGGGAGGAUUAGUCCGUCUCUGGCUGCCUGCUUAUCUGUCUGCUUUGCCUCUCAGCUGCAGAGAGUAGAGGAGGUGGAGGAGGAGAAGAGGAGGUGUGUGUGUGUGUGUGUGUGUGUGUGUGUGUGUGUGUGUGUGUGUGUGUGUGUGUGUGUGUGUGUGUGUGUGUGUGUGUGUGUGUGUGGAGGAGAGGUUUUGGCAUCUCUCGCUCGGUUGUUGAGGCUAUAUCAGCUUCACUCAGCUCACUGCUAGUUUUAAUUUUUCUUUUUUUUCUUCUUUUUUUCGUCGGAGGACAAGCUUGUUGUGUUCACUCUUCAAACAGGUGUAGAUGUGUGUGUGUGUUUUUGUGUGUGUGUGUGUGCAGUGAGGUGCAUUUUCUUCCAUGGGUCGACCGACUGCAUCCAUUCUUGCACUGACUGUCCUGACUUGCUGUGUGUAAUAAUUGCUCCCCAGAGCAAGAAUCGACAACUUGGAUCAAUACCAAUAGUGAAGCAAAUAUAUCUGGCUAACGUUAGCAGCCGGUCUCUAAAGCCACAUACCUCAGUCACACUAACAAUGUCUUUAUCCUGGGGAGAUACAGAAGAAAAACGAUGUAUCAAAUUGUACAGUGAAAUCCGGCUGGCUCUGUGUUUUUCUGUUUAGGUCAGCACCUUGAAAAUGGAAGCUGGACCAGGCAUUUGAAGGGGGAGUCAGCAAUCAAAGCAAAGAAGCCCAGAGCUGCCUCUUCUCAUUCACCACAUUCAGAUCUUCUGUUCUGUUCCCAAACAAUCCGAGACCCCUUUGGAGGAAGUUUAUUCUUUUGGUCACAGCUCAUGGCCAUAGGUGAGAUUGGGAAUGCAGCUCAACAGUAAAUCAGCAGCUUUGCCUUCUCACUUUACCGCAACAAACUGGUCCACAUCCAUAUCACUGCAGAUGCUGCACCAAUUCAUCCUUCAAUCUCACGCUACUUUCUUUCCAUACUCCUGAACACGACCCCAAGAUACUUGCACUCCUCCACUUGGGGAAAGCAACUCCUCCCUAAUAGGACUCUAUCCUCUUCGGGCUGAGAACCGUGACCUCAGAUAUGGAGGUGCUAACUCUCAUCCCAGCCGCUUCGCACCUGGUUGCAAACCACCCCAGUGCAAGGUGGAGGUCACCUUUCAGUGAAGCCAACAUGGCGACAUCGUCCGCAAAAAAUCAGGCGAGCAGAUCUGGAGGUCAGCAAAUGUAUGAACCAAAUCUGUGACAAGGGGCAGCCUUGGCAGAAUCCAGUACUCAUCAGGAACGAGUCUGACUUGUUUCCAGUAAUUUGAGCCAUGCUCUCAGUGUGGCUGUGCAUGAACUGAAAGGCCUGUGAAAACAUACUGAUACCCCACACUCCUUAAGCACCCACCACAGGGCACCCAAGGGAUGCAGCUGGAUGCCUUCUCUAACACUCAGAGAUUGCUUGGAUCAAUUCCCACGCACCCUGAAGUAUCACUGAGAAGGUACAGAGCUACUGCAGUGUUUUGUGACCGGGAAAAAGACUGUUGAAAUUUUCCUCCCAAAUUUGUGGUUCAGGAUUUACUUAAAAUCAAAAGUAAUGCAAAUACAGGGACAAUAUCUCGUAGGAUCACCUUUGUGCUCUAUUUUAAUCCCACUGUUCACCAUGUGAGUGCUGCCAUUAAACAACAAGUUAUAUCUCUCAUAAAUUUCUAGUAGGACGGAUAAUUGGUGUCAAACAGCAGUUACACAAGCAUUCCAGGGUCCUUAUGAAGGCAGAAAAUCCCCACGCUGUAAAAUAAAAUGACCACAAGGAGUACAUCAUUUCUAUAAGGCUGGCUUCACGCCGUCUGACUGCUACUCUCACACAUUUUGUCACAUAUAACAAGUCCCGAUUUUGCAACGAUGCACGAGUCUUCUGACCUGCAGUUUAAUUAUCUCCCUCAGUGCCUGAAAUUUCAUCUUGCUCGAAGAAAAAUUUGAUUAUCUUAAAAGACUGAAUAAACAGUAACUGAAUGGUCACGGUGGACACAUUUCGGCAGCUUAAUGCCGUGUGUGUGUGUUUGUUGUGAGGACACCGAGGUCACAGCAGAGGUAAUCAGACAGCUAUCACAUGCAGACAGCUCCAAAUAUCCCCAUGUUCCCCUUUCUUCGCGCUGAGAUGCACAUUUAUGUUAAUGCCAC
ensembl:lncRNA